GGCAGGGUGAGUCGACCCCUAAGGCGAGGCCGAAAGGCGUAGUCGAUGGGAAACAGGUUAAUAUUCCUGUACUUGGUGUUACUGCGAAGGGGGGACGGAGAAGGCUAUGUUAGCCGGGCGACGGUUGUCCCGGUUUAAGCAUGUAGGCUGAUUGUCCAGGCAAAUCCGGAUAAUCAAGGCUGAGGUGUGAUGACGAGGCACUACGGUGCUGAAGUAACAAAUGCCCUGCUUCCAGGAAAAGCCUCUAAGCAUCAGGUAACAUUAAAUCGUACCCCAAACCGACACAGGUGGUCAGGUAGAGAAUACCAAGGCGCUUGAGAGAACUCGGGUGAAGGAACUAGGCAAAAUGGUGCCGUAACUUCGGGAGAAGGCACGCUGGUGUGUAGGUGAAGUCCCUGCGGAUGGAGCUGAGA
rnacentral:rRNA from 1 species